rnacentral:rRNA from 1 species
GUAGUUAGCCGGGGCUUCCUCACAAGGUACCGUCACUUCUUCGUCCCUUGCGACAGAGGUUUACAACCCGAAAGCCUUCUUCCCUCACGCGGCGUUGCUGGGUCAGGCUUGCGCCCAUUGCCCAAUAUUCCCCACUGCUGCCUCCCGUAGGAGUCUGGACCGUGUCUCAGUUCCAGUGUGGCCGAUCAGCCUCUCAGCUCGGCUACCCAUCGUCGGCAUGGUGGGCCGUUACCCCGCCAUCUACCUAAUGGGACGCGAACCCCUCCUAAAGCGAUAAAUCUUUGACCCCUCCCUGAUGCCAGGCUGUGGUCUCAUGCGGUAUUAGCACCGAUUUCUCGACGUUAUCCCCCUCUUUAGGUCAGGUUGUUCACGCGUUACUCACCCGUUCGCCACUAAAAUGUUCCGACCGAAAUCAAAACAUCUCCGUUCGACUUGCAUGUGUUAGGCACGCCGCCAGCGUUCGUCCUGAGCACGANACAACACUCACAGAGCGGCGNGCGAGACGCG